rnacentral:rRNA from 1 species
AACGAACGCUGGCGGCGCGUCUUAACCAUGCAAGUCGAGCGGCAGGCAGCAAUGCCGAGAGCGGCGGACUGGUGAGUAACACGUGGAUAACGAACCCCGAUGCCCGGGACAGCCUGUAGAAAUAGAGGGUAAUACCGGAUAGAUCACUGUUUACGGAAGGUAGACAGCGGGAAAGGAGCUUCGGCUCCGCGACGGGAUCGGUCUGCGGCCCAUCAGCUGGACGGCGGGGUAAAGGCCCGCCGUGGCGAGGACGGGUAUCCGGCCUGAGAGGGCGGACGGACACAUUGGGACUGAGAUACGGCCCAGACUCCUACGGGAGGCAGCAGGUAAGAAUAUUCCGCAAUGGGGGGAACCCUGACGGAGCGACGCCGCGUGAACGAAGAAGGCCGGAAGGUUGUAAAGUUCUUUUCUGUCCGAGGAAUAAGUGUAGGAGGAAAUGCCUGCAUGGUGACGGUAGGGCAGGAAUAAGCACCGGCUAAUUACGUGCCAGCAGCCGCGGUAACACGUAAGGUGCGAGCGUUGUUCGGAAUUAUUGGGCGUAAAGGGCAUGCAGGCGGGUCGCCAAGCUUGGUAAGAAAUACCGGGGCUCAACUCCGGAGCUAUAUUGAGAACUGGCGAGCUAGAGUUGCCGAAGGGUAUCCGGAAUUCCGCGUGAAGGGGUGAAAUCUGUAGAUAUGCGGAAGAACACCGAUGGCGAAGGCAGGAUACCGGCGGACGACUGACGCUGAGGUGCGAAGGUGCGGGGAGCAAACAGG